rnacentral:rRNA from 1 species
AUUGAACGCUGGCGGCAUGCCUUACACAUGCAAGUCGAACGGUAACAGGUCUUCGGAUGCUGACGAGUGGCGAACGGGUGAGUAAUACAUCGGAACGUGCCUAGUAGUGGGGGAUAACUACUCGAAAGAGUGGCUAAUACCGCAUGAGAUCUACGGAUGAAAGCAGGGGAUCGCAAGACCCUGUGCUACUAGAGCGGCCGAUGGCAGAUUUGGUUGUUGGUGGGAUAAAAGCUUACCAAGCCGACGAUCUGUAGCUGGUCUGAGAGGACGAUCAGCCACACUGGGACUGAGACACGGCCCAGACUCCUACGGGAGGCAGCAGUGGGGAAUUUUGGACAAUGGGCGAAAGCCUGAUCCAGCAAUGCCGCGUGCAGGAUGAAGGCCUUCGGGUUGUAACCUGCUUUUGUACGGAACGAAAAGCCCCGGGUUAAUACCCUGGGGUCAUGACGGUACCGUAAGAAUAAGCACCGGCUAACUACGUGCCAGCCGCCGCAGUAA